GGAAAGGCCAGACUAGCCGGAACCCCGGGCAAGUGGGAAGUGGGAGUGAUCUCCAACUUGGCGCUACGUAAGGCCUGGAGCCUCAAGCUCCUUGGAAGUGUGUACCGUCUAUCACUAGCGCUUCGGCCGCGCGCUUCUGCUGGCCGCUAUCAGACGCUAAGAAUCCCUCAAAGCCCGACCCCUCUCUUUGAUGGUCACUCUCUUCCCAUCCAAACCCCUGCGCCGCUGCCCUCUGGCUGCUCCCAGGACCCCUAGUUCCACGCGUGUCUGCUCUGAGCUUCGCGCUGAGCCUAGUACGCCGAGUUCGCUCGGGCGUGUACACAGCGAUUGGUCUGCUGUACUUGCUGUCAGGUCCUGAGGACCAAGAGGAUGUCCUGCGGCCCACUGGUGCAGUUCUCAAGUCCUUUAACUCUUUCACCUCCAGGGGACCUGAUUGGUGACAGGGAAGCCCAGGAGAGAGCUCAUGAGGUGUCACACCUGGGGCCAAGGGGUGGGCAGUGUCCCAUGGGGAAUUGUGGUACUUGCCCUGCUGCAAUGUUUACCUCUGACCAUGUAGGGAAAAAGAAGCCAUUGUGGUUAGUAGUUAUGGUUUGGAUCUCAGACAUCCCCCAAAAGUUAUCUUUAGAGAAGGGGCUUUUGGAAAUUGUUUGGAUCAUAACAGCUCUAGUUUCAUAAUUUAAUGGCAUUAUUAGGAGGUUGGGACUGGUUGAAGAGGGUGGGUUACGGAGAGGGGCUCAUGACCUUGGAGGUUACAUCUUGCUUCUAGUUCCUUCCUUCUAGCUUCUUGGUUGCUGUAGGUAAGCAGCUUUCCUCCACCAUCUUGUUCUACUAGAAUGUUUCUGCCUUGCCACAGGUUAAAAGCAAUGGAGCCAGCCUCACAUGGACUGAAACCUCUGAAUCUGUGAGCCAAAAUAAACCUUUGCUCCUCUAAGUUGACUUUCACAGGUUUUUGUCAGUGACAGGAAACUGACUAACACAGGGGUGGAGGAGGAAACCUUAAGGGACCUUCCAGGAACCUCUCUCAUAAACAUGCUGUGGGUAUGGGUAUAGACCCAAAGGUGCCAGGCAUUUUGUGUGACCGUAGGAGCAAUCCUAACCUCAAAGCAGACGGACUGAUUGAGGGGGUCCAAGUCUCUGUUUGCUUAAUCUGGGUCUAGGCAGUGGAUAGAGAGGGAUCCUCAAGGCCUAUGAUCCCUGAUUUGGACCCUGUAAGGACAGUAGCCUCAGCACCAGUGGCAAGUGUCCUGGAGGACUGCUCACAUAGCAGUAUAGUGAGAGGUGUUGCAUUUUGUUGUGAUUCCUCAGGGAAAAUUCUCACUUAGAGCUGCCUUGCCCUCCUAAGAACUGUCUCCUAGUUUUUUUCUAUUCUCAGAUCUGUUCGAAAAUGGAGACUUUUCUUCAACCAGGCCCACCUGCCCUCAGCCUGCCCUUGCACCAAAGGACGAGAAGGGGAGGAACCAGAGACUGGCUUCUGGGAACCAUAGGAGAGAGAUGAAUGUCCUCGCUGUUGUCCCUCCCAGUUAUCCCAGUUAUCCUGGUCCAUUCCUCUCAUACACUUUUCUGUGGAGAGUGUCCUGGGUCACGCUGCAAUCUGGGCCAGGCGCUGCAGCUCUGUCCUCUGGGACCAGCUCGUGGAAGCUCACUCAGAACUCUGCCCUGGUCCUUGCAUAGAUGACCUCUGAAACCCUCAAUGAGGAAGGAGGAGAAGGGCCUGUGAUUUCCGCACCACCAGGUGACCUUCCCUGACCCUACCCUUCUGCUCCCCAGGGAUCACAGUGAUCCACACCUUUUCCACCCUAGUGUCCAUUCAUGGUGACCCUGGUCUCCCCUCCCCCAUGAUGAACCUGCAGCCCUGGCCUCUCUCCUUUAGGUUGGGCCAGCAGCACCUGCCUGGCUCCCACAUCCGCACCCCUCUGACUUCCAGUCCCCACACAGAAAGCUGUCAUCCAGCUGCCAAGUGGAGGGGCAGAUACCUCCUCUGGCUUUCCCCUCAUCUCCCACUUCUGCUUUGUCCUAAUGUUACCAGGGUUGUAGGAAAAAAGCCUUAACUCCAGGAAUCCCAAAAUGUUAUUCAGGGUGUGGUAAAGGGCAGGAAAGGAUCUUUAAUUAGCAUGGCCACCUAGGGAAGCAUGGAUAUAGGUUCAAAAUCUGCUUUCCAGCUGGGUAUGGUGGCACACAUCUGUAAUCCUAGCACUGGGAAGGCAG